GGAAUGGCAAACUUCGUGCUUCCCCUUUGCAGUCUGAGCAAGCACAAGUUCAGCUCUCUUUCCUGCAGCGUAUCACAGUCCACUGCAGAAUAUCACAAAAGGCAGGCUUAACACAGAGGAGUGUCCCUCCUGCAACGUUUACACAGUAAUGCUCAAAAUAUCUCAUACAAUGACAGUAAGAAAACGUCUUUGUUGCUCUUGCUAAAAAGUCUAUAUGCAAAGUUGUGUCAGGGGAAAGGAAAUUUGAAUGGCUUUCGCCGAUUGAUCCCCUUAACACAUGAAGAAGGAAAAAAAACAAAAGAAAUCCCAAGUCAGAAGGGAUAUGCACUCAUCAUACAGAAAGGAGAAGCACCAUUAUCAUUUUCACUCACACACUACGCAACUCUCUCUAUUCGCUCUCUACUCACUUAACAGAGACUCCCUCUUGCUCUGGACUCUCUUGGCUCCUCUCACUCGUAACCACUCCAAUGAUAUUUCCCUUUCACUCCCAAUUGUUCAUCGGCAAUAUUUCAUUAUCUGCAAUAUCUCAUUACCACAAGAGGACCUUCACCAGAGGAUUCAGUUUCAAGCACCUCAUCAUCGGAGCUUGAGCAUUGGAAACUCAUCACCAUUUACCUAUCGUCACAAUCUGGGAGGAAGAUACCUUACGGCCAGGGAAAAGGAGGACCAUUUGCCUUCACCCGGGAGAAUUCUAUUGAAGCUACGGAGGUAAGUGGCCCUAUCUAAGCUUCUCCCUAUCUAAGCUUCUCGGAUUUGGUCUUAUGCGACUGUCCGUUCCCCUGUUACAUGCCAUGUCUGAAUAUGAAUGAAUGAUGCUUGAUUAAUAAUAUAGUAGUGUUCUCUUCAUGACAUCAUCGUUUAAUCAAAUACCUGCAAGAUUCAUCAUGUAUCACUAACAGUAGAGACUAGGUACAUGUUCUCCAACAUCAUGAUUUCAAUACCCUCUACUUGUACCCAGAAAACACUAUAGAAAAAUGUAGAAGCAGAAUUAGAUGCAUUUCCAGAAUAGAAAAGAACAGAAAACCGAAACAACUUCCUCUAGCCAAACCAUAAGUCUUCUUCAAUCUGAACAAACCCAGAUCACAAAUCCCAUGCCCAUAGGUUUAAAGUUUGUCCUUUGAAACAAUCCAAGCACCCUGAAUCAAUCUCAGCCACGAAAAACCAAGUCAGAUGAUGAAACUAGGCCCCCUUGCUUUUGUUCACCUCAAGCCACUAACAAAGGAGUUAACCCCCUGAGCAAGAGAAACACAGAAAAAAAAAACCACAUACAAACCACCGUAUCAGAAUAAAAAUCCGAAACCCUCGAACAUUGUCUCGACGAACCAAAGUGGCUGUUUUGUUUGAUACACAAACCGCGGAACCACACUAGUGGUGGCCUCGGUGGCGGCAGUUUUCGUCUCUCUGGUGGCGGCGACUACGAUAGAAAGAAGGAGAAAAGAGUCACGCGCGCCGGUUGCGAUGGCAGGAUUCGUUCGUUGUGGUGGAGACUAGAUUUAUAGAAGCAACGGUUCUUCUCUCCCUCGCGCAGACUGGUCUUGUUGAUGGUUGGUGUUGCCGACGAUACCUUGGAUUGAGUGGCGACGGCUCCGGCAGCGAGUCGCGUCGCCGGCGCACCCCUGGUUCGUGAUCGGGAGGCGGCAGCGACCAGUUUCAGCGGCGGCGACCCUGGCGAGGACCAGUGACGCUCCGGCUGGUGGUGGCUGGGAUCUCCCAAGAAGCGACUAACGAAAGGCAGGAGCACAUCCUUCUCGCGCGUGAAGAUGAGAAGGGAGGGAGGAGAGCCAGGCGUCGUGGCCUGCGACGAGCAUAGGCAUCGUCGAUGGUUUGAACAGAGACUCGCGGUGGCCGGCCGGUUGGUGUUGGUGCCUCUGGGUUUACCGGCAGGGUGAAGGAGAGACCCUAGGUCUCUUGGAGUUGAGAGGAAGGGUGAAUGUUGUGAAUGAGGGGGAGGAGGCUGACCCUCUGUGUUAGUGUAUGAUAUUAUUUUUUAUAUUUUUUAUUAAUAAAAUAAAAUAAAUAAAUAAAAAAUACUUAAUUAAUUAGGGAAAAAUUGAAAAAGGAGGAUGAGGUAUAUAAAAUAAUUGAAAAGAGGAUGGUGCAAUUAUUGUCCCUAGAAAGGCAUGUUUCCUCGUUGAGGGAUUCUUCCUCCACCUCGUCAACUUCAUCCUGCACCUCCUUAAUUUCUUUUAUUUCCAACUGUACCCCUAUAUCCCUAAUCUAUUCAAAGAGCAUAUUUUGAUUACCCAAUCAGUCAUAAACCUUACUUGAAACCCUACACCUCUCCCCUCGUAACACUUAUCUGCCGCAUCUGACCUGACCCUCUCUUCUGCUCCGGUUCUCCCUCUGAGUGGGCUUCCUUUCCCUCCUCUCGUCGUUUUGUUCACUGUAUAUUUUCGUGGUGUUGUGAUUUGCUGUCUCCUUUUCUUUUCUUCACUCGUGUUGAUGCCGUGGUUGCAGGGUGUACAUCAACGUCCAGGUUAGCUUAUUUAUUUUUGAUUUGUGGUUGAUGUAGUAUAUCUGAUGGGAGAAAUGAUAGAAUGUUGUUGCUUGGUUGAUCUGCGCUUGUUUUAUUUGUGCUUGAUGUUGCUUGAUUUGUGCUGCUUGGCCAUUAUUUUCUGCUUGUAGGUUGGGUAAACCGCAAAUGGAAACGGCCGCCGCAAAUGAAACUGCGGUUAACGGCCGCCGCAGUUGGAUCUGCGGUUAAUGGCCGCCGCAGUUCGAUCUGCGAUUGCGGGCAACCGCAGGUGGAUCUGCGGUUGGUUUACGGGAGGUGCAUGGGCGAAACGCAGUACGAUCUGCGGCUUGGGCAAAACGCAGUCCGAUCUGCGGCUUGGUCGAAACGCAGGAUGAUCUGCGGCUAGGGCGAAACGAUCUGCUGGGUUCAGUCCCUGAUCUGCGGCUAGGGCGAAACAUGUUGAGGAGUUAUUAAUGAAAUCUGGUAAAAAAAACAUUGUUUUUGUCUGGUCUGCUACAAAAAGAGACGAGAGAAAUGGCGUAUGGAUGUUGCUGGUGGGGGCAGUGGCUGAAGGUUUGUUAACGAAAGAAAAGUAUUGAGAAGAUAAAAGUUAUGUAUUUUUAAUUUGUUUAUUUGUGAGUUAGGAAUAAUUGUUAAGUUUAAU
rnacentral:lncRNA from 1 species